UUGCCCUAGUAACGGCGAGUGAAGCGGCAACAGCUCAAAUUUGAAAUCUGGCGUCUUUGGCGUCCGAGUUGUAAUUUGCAGAGGGCGCUUUGGCAUUGGCAGCGGUCCAAGUUCCUUGGAACAGGACGUCACAGAGGGUGAGAAUCCCGUACGUGGUCGCUAGCCUUUACCGUGUAAAGCCCCUUCGACGAGUCGAGUUGUUUGGGAAUGCAGCUCUAAAUGGGAGGUAAAUUUCUUCUAAAGCUAAAUACUGGCCAGAGACCGAUAGCGCACAAGUAGAGUGAUCGAAAGAUGAAAAGCACUUUGGAAAGAGAGUUAAAAAGCACGUGAAAUUGUUGAAAGGGAAGCGCUUGCAGCCAGACUUGCCUGUAGUUGCUCAUCCGGGUUUUUACCCGGUGCACUCUUCUAUAGGCAGGCCAGCAUCAGUUUGGGCGGUUGGAUAAAGGUCUCUGUCAUGUACCUCUCUUCGGGGAGAACUUAUAGGGGAGACGACAUGCAACCAGCCUGGACUGAGGUCCGCGCAUCUGCUAGGAUGCUGGCGUAAUGGCUGUAAGCGGCCCGUCUUGAAACACGGACCAAGGAGUCUAACAUCUAUGCGAGUGUUUGGGUGUCAAGCCCGAGCGCGUAAUGAAAGUGAACGGAGGUGGGAACCCCUCGGGGUGCACCAUCGACCGAUCCUGAUGUCUUCGGAUGGAUUUGAGUAAGAGCAUAGCUGUUGGGACCCGAAAGAUGGUGAACUAUGCUUGAAUAGGGUGAAGCCAGAGGAAACUCUGGUGGAGGCUCGCAGCGGUUCUGACGUGCAAAUCGAUCGUCAAAUUUGGGCAUAGGGGCGAAAGACUAAUCGA
rnacentral:rRNA from 2 species